GCAUGGCUGAAUACUUUGUUCUUUAUCUCAGUAAUUGAUGCAGCCAGACACCAUGCAAAAGUCUUCCCUUUGAAAUGUCUGUGAUAACUGAUAAUGGAUAAAGAA